AGGAGGAGGUCCCCAAUGAUGCGCAGCAUCAUUUUUGCAUGGGACCGACGACUUGCCGCCGAAACGUAGCUGAGGGGGCCGUUCAGAUG
rnacentral:sRNA from 1 species